rnacentral:miRNA from 1 species
AAGAUGGAGACUUUAACAUGGGU